GUUAGUUAUCUGGCGGUGCCCGGCGUGGCUAAGGCUAGGGCUUGUUGCUGCUGCUGUGGUUGUUGGCGGUGUCGGGCGCGGCGGAGGCGAGGCGGGAGGCGAUGGCGGAGUGGUACAUGGCGUCGUGGAAGCUCUCCGUCUCCAUCAUCCGCGCCCGCAGCUGCCGCGCCUUCUCCUCCGUCAGCACGCCGAACCGCCUCUGGCCCUGGCCCUUCGCAGCCCGCUCGUCCUCCUCCUCGCGCGGCGGCGCGGGCGGCGCGCCGUCGAUGUAGUCCGGCUGGCCCGACCACCCCAGCAGCGGCGCCCACCACCUGCCGUUCCCGGUCGCCUCGGCCCGGAACCUCGCCCCGCCGCUGACCCCCGCGGCGGACGCGGACGCGGACGCGGACGCGCAGGGCCGGAGCAUCAUCCCCCUCGCCGUCGUCGUCGUCGACGGGCGGGCGGAGACGGAGAACGUCACGGCGGGGCCCGACGCCACAGCCAUAUCGAAUCCGCUUUACGGGACGGGAGAAUAUCAGAACACGAAGAAGGAGAGGAAGAAGAAGAAGAGGAACAGACGAAGGAUUUGGGGAGGUUUGCUUUCGGGUUCGCGGCUGGACGCGAGAAUGAGAAUUGGAUUGGCUUCGCUGU
rnacentral:lncRNA from 1 species